rnacentral:rRNA from 1 species
GACGGAGGGUGCUAGCGUUGUUCGGAAUUACUGGGCGUAAGGGCGCGUAGGCGGCUUCGGCAGUCGGGUGUGAAAGCCCGGGGCUCAACCCCGGAACGGCACCCGAGACUCCGGGGCUCGAGACCGGGAGAGGAGGGUGGAAUACCCAGUGUAGAGGUGAAAUUCGUAGAUAUCAGGAGGAACACCGGAGGCGAAGGCGGCUAUCUGGGGAGACACUGACGCUGAGGUGCGAAAGCGUGGGGAUCAAACAGG